CGGUGAGGAGACUGUGCUUGGGAAACAGACUGAAAUGGGGACCUUUCAGUUUGGGACCAUGCGCAGAGAAAGCAGAGGCGAUCGGAGGCACGGAUGUCGUGGCCCGUGUGCUCGGCAGGGCCUGGAGUUCCGGAGCUCUCAGACCUUCUCUUCCUCCGCCCCCAGGAAACUGCUGGAGGGUACACUGUAGCAAAACUGGAGAGUAAACCAAGAAAGAGGAAGACAAAUUAUCCAGGAAAUGGGAUCCCAAAGACAAGAUAAUCAAGCACAUCAAGAUUAUAGCAAGGAGAGACUUCCCAUACCAACAGCCAGGAAUCCAGGCUGAAGCAGGAGGAUGGAAAUCUUUAUGAAAAACAAGAAACUGCACCUCAUGUGGAAGAAGUUGGAAGAACCAGCGACAUCGUUCCAUCAAAGCUGCCUCCAUUUCCGU
rnacentral:lncRNA from 1 species